GGGCCUGUAGCUCAGCGGUUCAGAGCAGUCCGCUCAUAACGGAUUGGUCGGGGGUUCAAAUCCCUCCGGGCCCACCA
rnacentral:tRNA from 1 species